rnacentral:rRNA from 1 species
UACGUAGGGCGCAAGCGUUGUCCGGAAUUAUUGGGCGUAAAGAGCUCGUAGGCGGCUUGUCACGUCGGAUGUGAAAGCCCGGGGCUUAACCCCGGGUCUGCAUUCGAUACGGGCUAGCUAGAGUGUGGUAGGGGAGAUCGGAAUUCCUGGUGUAGCGGCGAAAUGCGCAGAUAUCAGGAGGAACACCGGUGGCGAAGGCGGAUCUCUGGGCCAUUACUGACGCUGAGGAGCGAAAGCGUGGGGAGCGAACAGG